GACGAACGCUGGCGGCGUGCUUAACACAUGCAAGUCGUACGGUAAGGCCCUUUCGGGGGUCCACGAGUGGCGCACGGGUGAGUAACACGUGAGUAACCUGCCCACAACUUUGGGAUAACGCUAGGAAACUGGUGCUAAUACUGGAUAUGUGCUCCUGCUGCAUGGUGGGGGUUGGAAAGCUCCGGCGGUUGUGGAUGGACUCGCGGCCUAUCAGCUUGUUGGUGGGGUAGUGGCCUACCAAGGCGGCGACGGGUAGCCGGCCUGAGAGGGUGACCGGCCACAUUGGGACUGAGAUACGGCCCAGACUCCUACGGGAGGCAGCGGUGGGGAAUAUUGCACAAUGGGCGCAAGCCUGAUGCAGCAACGCCGCGUGCGGGAUGACGGCCUUCGGGUUGUAAACCGCUUUCAGCAGGGACGAAGCUUUUUGUGACGGUACCUGCAGAAGAAGCACCGGCUAACUACGUG
rnacentral:rRNA from 1 species